AGAGAGAGACAUGCGCGCAUAUCAAUAAGCGGAGGAAAAGAAACUAACAAGGAUUCCCUUAGUAACGGCGAGUGAAGCGGGAAGAGCUCAAAUUUGAAAUCUUCAAGGUUCUACCUUGACGAAUUGUAGUUUAUAGAAGUGUUUUCUGUUAGUGGAGUGGCAAAAGUUCUUUGGAAUAGGACAUCAUAGAGGGUGAGAAUCCCGUAUUUGGUCAUUCCUCCUAGCGUUGUGAUACACUUUCAACGAGUCGGAUUGUUUGGGAAUGCAGUCCAAAAUGGGUGGUAAAUUUCAUCUAAAGCUAAAUAUUGGCGAGAGACCGAUAGCGAACAAGUACCGUGAGGGAAAGAUGAAAAGAACUUUGAAAAGAGAGUUAAACAGUACGUGAAAUUGUCAAAAGGGAAGCGUUUGACACCAGUGUUGUUUUUCCGAAAAUCAAUUACGAAUGUUUUGUUUUUGAGGAGUUAUGACUUCAUCGGCUUGCUCCUUUCUUUAUGAAACUUUCUUAAUGCACUUUUCGGUUAACAAGUCAACAUCAAUUUCCUUUGUUGUAAAAGGGUAUGAGGAAGGUGGCUUUCUUUUCGGAGAAAGUGUUUAUAGCCUUGUGCCUCUGCAAUCGGAGAGAUUGAGGUCUGCAGCGUAGAUCCUUCGGGGUUAGAUACGUUUGUGCUAAGUUAUAGCUUUUCAUAGACAACUUGUUGACUAUGUUUAGUCUUGUAGCUUACUCGCUUACUGCUAUUUUACCUACGCUUAGGAUGUUGAUAGUCACAGCGUGUAC
rnacentral:rRNA from 1 species